rnacentral:rRNA from 1 species
ACGUACGCUGGCGGCACGCCUAACACAUGCAAGUCGAACGAAGUAGCAAUACUUAGUGGCAGACGGGUGAGUAACAUGUAGGUAUCUGCCCUUUGGCCUGGAAUAACACGAGGAAACUUGUGCUAAUACCGGAUAAGUCUUUACGGAGAAAGCUUUAUGCACCAUUGGAUGAGCCUGCACUUGAUUAGUUUGUUGGUGGGGUAAUGGCCUACCAAGACUGUGAUCAAUAGCUGAUUUGAGAGGAUGAUCAGCCACAUUGGGACUGAGACACGGCCCAAACUCCUACGGGAGGCAGCAGUGGGGAAUCUUGCACAAUGGAGGAAACUCUGAUGCAGCGAUGCCGCGUGAGUGAAGAAGGCCCUUGGGUUGUAAAGCUCUUUCGUCGGGGAAGAAAAUGACUGUACCCGAAUAAGAAGGUCCGGCUAACUUCGUGCCAGCAGCCGCGGUAAUACGAAGGGACCUAGCGUAGUUCGGAAUUACUGGGCUUAAAGAGUUCGUAGGUGGUUGAAAAAGUUAGAGGUGAAAUCCCAGAGCUUAACUCUGGAACUGCCAUUAAAACUUUUCAGCUAGAGUAUGAUAGAGGAAAGCAGAAUUUCUAGUGUAGAGGUGAAAUUCGUAGAUAUUAGAAAGAAUACCAAUUGCGAAGGCAGCUUUCUGGAUCAUUACUGACACUGA